CAAAGGGGUGUUAGGAGCAGGGGGUGGGAUUGAGGGAAGGAGGGAGGGAUCAGGAGGGAUAUUGUUGUUGCUACUUUGGAGAUCUAACUUUAUAAUUAUUCCUUCGCCUGCACUAAGUUGACCUUGGCUGAGCGGCUGUCAGUCUGUCAGUCUCUCUUCUAGCCUCAGGAUUGUGCUCUGCCUUGCUCAGCCCUGCCCUGCCUCCUCCUUACGUAAUAAUCUUACCACCAGUAACUUUACACUCAUCCAAACACUCACACAUUCACACGCUACCACCACCAGUAUAGUGCGCAUCACCACCACUCACUGCCAUUCACGCUUCGCGCCACCAUUCAGCCGCUGUGUGCCGGGUAAAGACGCACAGACAGACACACACACACACACACACACACACACACACACACACACACACACACACACACACGAUUCCUUUACUUUCACCUGUCAUGUCUCUGAUCUUUUCCUGCAGCGCUUUCAUCUCUUUCUCCUCCUUUCCUUCUCUUCCUCCUUUUUGUAGCUCUUCACCUCGUCUCCUUAUUCCUUGAUAAUCGGUUCAGUGGGUCACGAGGACAAUCAUUGCGCCUCUACACUCUUAUCUCUACUCUCUCCAGUUUCCCAGAUACAGAUAGAUACUACUCCUCGCGGUGGCACUCGUGGUCUAUCAGAGUCACCGCUAGCGACUCUCAAUUUUCCCUGCGCGACAUCUGCGGCCCAUGGCUGUCCAGUCACACUCUCUCGCUUGGAGCCGUAAGUCUCUCUCAAACGCAAGAACCGUUCCCGGUCUUCACUUAUCGCUUCAUCUCCAUGAGCUGGUUCCAUCCGGCGUGGCACGGCGUGGGCUGAGGCAGGCUUGUGCUGGGCAGGCUUGUCCAGGCUCCGUGGCAGAUGUCGUCAGGCGCGCCCUGUAAUACUAAUGACUAGGUUGUUAUUACGUAUUAUAUCAAUACACUUAACAUGAAGAAGAAAUACAUAGUGAUUCAUUGUAG